rnacentral:rRNA from 1 species
UACGUAGGGCGCGAGCGUUGUCCGGAUUUAUUGGGCGUAAAGAGCUCGUAGGCGGUUUGUUGCGUCUGCUGUGAAAACGCGGGGCUUAACUUCGCGCGUGCAGUGGGUACGGGCAGGCUAGAGUGCGGUAGGGGAGAUUGGAAUUCCUGGUGUAGCGGUGGAAUGCGCAGAUAUCAGGAGGAACACCGAUGGCGAAGGCAGGUCUCUGGGCCGUUACUGACACUGAGGAGCGAAAGCGUGGGGAGCGAACAGGAUUAGAUACCCCCGUAGUCC